CUCUUCAUCUUUCCCCAGAUCGAAACCGAAGAGGCGGUCAGCGAGAUGACGCCUAGCCACCGGAGAUCUCAGGCCAGAGGCCCUGGAACGGAGGGCCGCAGGAGACACAGCUUUUGUGGCUAGGAGAGGGAGCAGCACCACCUGCGCCGUCCUUCAUGAGGGCCGCGCGUCAUCCCGGACUCCGGCUUCCCUCCACGCGCCUCCACUGUUAGCCGCCGCAGCACCCAACUCCGUCGUCCUUCGUCAUCUGUGCGCCGCCCUGCUCGAAUCCGCCGUCUGUCUGCCCCCGCUCCUCGAAGAUGAAGGAUCAAGCUGCCGCAAGAACCCAGCAGCACCAGGAGGAUGAGCAGGAAUUGCCCGUCCUUUAUUCUCGAGCAAGUACAAGGAGCAGCCUGCCAAGAGGAUGUAGCAGUUUGUUGCUGUUGUUGAAAAGGGAGCGGCAGUCGCCCCCGCAUCGCCUGCCUGGCUCCGGCGCCGAUUGUUUGCAGGGAAGUGCGUUAGGUUCUCUGGAUUCAGAUAUAAAGUUCAGAUUUUCACACCUUCUGCUAAUUUUUCUCAUAUCUAUUUGAUUCAGAUUUUUAAAUAAGUGUGUGCUGCUACGAUGAACGAUGAACGGAAAGUUCCAGGUUGUUUACCAAGAAAAUUAUUUGAUCCUUACUUGCUCAAAUGCACGCAGUUUCUGUAGACCUCUUGCUAAGCUACAGGCUAUUCGUCUAAAAGCCAAAAAGAACAAGUUCACGAUGCAACUUGGCACAUCCAGUGAAACAUGGUUCAGAAUUAUGUGCUUCUUGGUUGAGAUGUCACUUAGUUAUUUCAGCAAGAAGAAGUUCGUGGUUUAGGCUUGGCCUCGAGUAUUUAGUUUCUUCAAUUUGUAAAUACGAGCUUUUGGAGUUUAGCAGUUUUACCUAAACAACGUAAUUUGUUUUUCAAAUCUUUGUGUAAUACAGUUAUAUAGUUCUGAACAAUUGUGAAACUGGAAUGGAUGAAGAGUAACUUGUGUGAA